AGGGUUUGAUCCUGGCUCAGGGCUAACGCUGGCGGCGUGUCUUAGCCAUGCAAGUCGAGCGGGCCUGUGGGGUUUACCUGCAGGUCAGCGGCGGACGGCGGAGUAACACGUAGCUAACCUACCCCCUGGACGGGGAUAACCACCCGAAAGGGUGGCUAAUACCCGAUGGAGUCCCUAUCUGAGAUGGUAGGGAUGAAAGGUGGGCCUCUGCGUGAGCAAGCUCAUGCCAGGGGAGGGGGCUGCGGCCUAUCAGGUAGUUGGUGGGGUAAUGGCCCACCAAGCCUAUGACGGGUAGCCGGCCUGAGAGGGUGACCGGCCCGAGGGGCACUGAGACACGGGCCCCACUCCUACGGGAGGCAGCAGGCUAGAAAAUUGGGCAAUGGGGGAAACCCUGACCCAGUGACGCCGCGUGCAGGAAGAAGCCCUUCGGGGUGUAAACUGCUGUCGUGCGGGACGAAGGGCCCAUAGGUGAAGAAUCUAUGGGCUUGACGGUACCGCAGGAGGAAGCCCAGGCUAACCUCGUGCCAGCAGCCGCGGUAAUACGGGGUGGGCGAGCGUUGCCCGGAAUUACUGGGUUUAAAGGGGGUGUAGGCGGUCCGGAGAGUCAGGUGUGUAAUCCAACCGCUCAACGGUUGGGCUGCACCUGAUACUUCCGGGCUAGAGGGCGGUAGAGGAGAGCGGAACUCCCGGUGUAGCGGUGAAAUGCGUAGAUAUCGGGAGGAACGCCGGUGGCGAAGGCGGCUCUCUGGGCCGUUCCUGACGCUGAGGCCCGAAAGCUGGGGGAGCGAAAGGGAUUAGAUACCCCUGUAGUCCCAGCCGUAAACGAUGGGCACUAGGUGUUCCCCCGGAAGGGGGAGUGCCGACGGGAAACCAUUAAGUGCCCCACCUGGGGAGUACGCCCGCAAGGGUGAAACUCAAAGGAAUUGACGGGGGCCCGCACAAGCGGUGGAGCGCGU
rnacentral:rRNA from 1 species